GAUGAACGCUGGCGGCGUGCAUAACACAUUCAAGUCGAACGGUGACGACCUUCGGGUCUGAUCAGUGGCGGACGGGUGAGUAACGCGUGAGCAACCUGCCCUUGUGUGGGGGAUAACAUCUGGAAACGGAUGAUAAUACCGCAUAAUGCAACGGAAUCGCAUGUUUCUGUUGCCAAAGAUUUAUUGCGCAAGGAUGGGCUCGCGUUGGAUUAGAUAGUUGGUGAGGUAACGGCUCACCAAGUCGACGAUCCAUAGCCGGACUGAGAGGUUGAACGGCCACAUUGGAACUGAGAAACGGUCCAGACUCCUACGGGAGGCAGCAGUGGGGAAUAUUGGGCAAUGGGCGAAAGCCUGACCCAGCGACGCCGCGUGCGGGAAGACGGUCUUCGGAUUGUAAACCUCUUUCAGCAGGGAAGAAGCAAGUGACGGUACCUGCAGAAGAAGUCACGGCUAACUACGUGCCAGCCGCCGCGGUAAAAC
rnacentral:rRNA from 1 species